rnacentral:rRNA from 1 species
UACGGGGGGGGGCAAGCGUUGUUCGGAAUUACUGGGCGUAAAGGGCGCGUAGGCGGCGAACCAAGUCAGAUGUGAAAGUCCUGGGCUUAACCUGGGGACUGCAUUUGAUACUGGUUUGCUUGAAUUCGGGAGAGGAUAGCGGAAUUCCCAGUGUAGAGGUGAAAUUCGUAGAUAUUGGGAAGAACACCGGUGGCGAAGGCGGAUCUCUGGGCCAUUACUGACGCUGAGGAGCGAAAGCGUGGGGAGCGAACAGG